UCAUAUGACCAAAUCACCUGGACUGCACCUGAUCUUGUCAUAUCUUGUAAGCUAAGCAGGUUUUAACCUGGAUAGUGUUUGGAUGGGUGCCCGUCAUGCACACACAGGUUGUUAUAGGCU
rnacentral:rRNA from 1 species